GACGAACGCUGGCGGCGUGCUUAACACAUGCAAGUCGAACGGAAAGGCCCUGCUUUUGUGGGGUGCUCGAGUGGCGAACGGGUGAGUAACACGUGAGUAACCUGCCCUUGACUUUGGGAUAACUUCAGGAAACUGGGGCUAAUACCGGAUAGGAGCUCCUGCUGCAUGGUGGGGGUUGGAAAGUUUCGGCGGUUGGGGAUGGACUGGAGGCUUAUCAGCUUGUUGGUGGGGUAGUGGCUUACCAAGGCUUUGACGGGUAGCCGGCCUGGGAGGGUGACCGGCCACAAUGGGACUGAGGUACGGACCAGACUCCUACGGGAGGCAACAGUGGGGAGUAUUGCACAAUGGGCGGGAGCCUGAUGCAGCAACGCCGCGUGCGGGAUGACGGCCUUCGGGUUGUAAACCGCUUUCGCCUGUGACGAAGCGUGAGUGACGGUAAUGGGUAAAGAAGCACCGGCUAACUACGUG
rnacentral:rRNA from 1 species